GCGCCCGUAGCUCAACGGAUAGAGCAUCUGACUACGGAUCAGAAGGUUGGGGGUUUGAAUCCCUCCGGGCGCA
rnacentral:tRNA from 1 species